UAUUGCACAAUGGGGGGAACCCUGAUGCAGCGACGCCGCGCGGGUGAAGAAGCGCCUCGGCGCGUAAAGCCCUGUCAGCAGGGAAGAAAAUGACGGUCCCUGAAGAACAAGCCCCGGCUAACUACGUGCCCCCAGCCGCGGUAAUACGUAGGGGGCAAGCGUUAUCCGGAUUUACUGGGUGUAAAGGGGGCGCAGACGGCGAUGCAAGCCAGGAGUGAAAGCCCGGGGCCCAACCCCGGGACUGCUCUUGGAACUGCGUGGCUGGAGUGCAGGAGGGGCAGGCGGAAUUCCUGGUGUAGCGGUGAAAUGCGUAGAUAUCAGGAGGGACACCGGUGGCGAAGGCGGCCUGCUGGACUGCAACUGACGUUGAGGCCCGAAAGCGUGGGGAGCAAACAGG
rnacentral:rRNA from 1 species